UACAGAGGGUGCGAGCGUUGUUCGGAAUUAUUGGGCGUAAAGGGCGCGUAGGCGGUGCGGUAAGUCACCUGUGAAAUCUCCUGGCUCAACUGGGAGCUUGCAGGCGAAACUGCCGUGCUGGAGUGUGGGAGAGGUGAGUGGAAUUCCCGGUGUAGCGGUGAAAUGCGUAGAUAUCGUAAGGAAGACCAGUGGCGAAGGCGGGUCUCUGGACAGUUCCUGACGCUGAGGCACGAAGGUCAGGGGAGUAAACGGG
rnacentral:rRNA from 1 species